GAAUUGAUCACCUGUCUUUAGCAAUGAAUAUAAUGUGUUAAAGCAGAUGGUUAAUGCAA
rnacentral:precursor_RNA from 1 species